UACGUAGGGUGCGAGCGUUAAUCGGAAUUACUGGGCGUAAAGCGUGCGCAGGCGGUUUUGUAAGACAGCUGUGAAAUCCCCGGGCUCAACCUGGGAACUGCGGUUGUGACUGCAAGACUGGAGUGUGGCAGAGGGGGGUGGAAUUCCACGUGUAGCAGUGAAAUGCGUAGAGAUGUGGAGGAACACCGAUGGCGAAGGCAGCCCCCUGGGCUAACACUGACGCUCAUGCACGAAAGCGUGGGAGCAAACAGG
rnacentral:rRNA from 1 species